ACAUAGUGAGCUCUCUGCUUGAUCCAUUCCACCUGUCAUCCCAUCAAGCCUCCUCACGCUGCAGGUGUAUUGCACGCAUUGCUUUGGGACUUGUUUCAGCUGUGAUUGGCCCACCCGAUAUCAUGUGAUGCUUACACGUCACACAUCGGGUUAGGACAGCCUAUUUAAACGGCAUUUUGCUGCAAACUCAGUGCAGAAUGCCGCAGGGUCAUAUGUUCAGUGAGCACUCUUGUCCUUAAUGCUUUGCAGUUCCCCUCCUGGAUCAAGCAGCUGAUUUCUUCUGGCUUUAUACACACUAAGCUUAUUGUGACACUGCCUGCGAUCCUUAUAUAGAUCUUAUACAGGAUCAUGCACAUGACCAUUUUCACCUCGGCGGUUUUCUGUGUUUGUCGCUAGUUGUGGGCAACUCGUGGGUAAGAUAGUGUGGUCUUUAAACUUUGGAACCAUUUUUUACCAUUAUAUGUUGUACCUGAUUUAAGCAAUUGGAAUGUGUAUCAUAUUUUACUGGUUAAUGCUUGUA